UAAAGCACUCUCUCUGUUACGUUAUUCCAUACAAAUGAUAGAGACAAAAAUCUCAGUAGGCGCUAACCACCAUUUGAGUCACCAAUCAAUCAUAAGCGAAACUGUUUUAUAACUACAUA